GUUCUUGCGCAAAACUCUGGUUUUGACCUUCAGGAAACAUUAGUUAAAGUUCAAGCUGAACAUUCAGAAUCCGGCCAGCUCGUAGGUGUGGAUCUGAGCACAGGUGAGCCGAUGGUGGCUGCAGAGAUGGGUGUGUGGGAUAACUACUGUGUGAAGAAGCAGCUGCUACACUCCUGUACUGUGAUCGCCACCAACAUUCUCCUGGUCGACGAGAUCAUGCGAGCUGGGAUGUCCUCUCUGAAGGGUUGAAGCCUGCCUGUGAUACUACAGGAUGUUGGGGGGAAUGGUUAUUUUUGUCCAAGCUUCAAGUGAUUUGGAAAAAAAUUUUCUCUUCCUGAUUGGAGAAAAGAAAUGGGACAUUUGGCACCUAUUCAAAUUAUACUGUAAAAUUUUAUUUUAUUUUUCCCUUGA
ensembl:processed_transcript